AAAGUAAACAAAUUUUCUCAAAUCAUUCGAAAUCUUAAAUACCUACCCAUAUUAAUUAACACAUUUAAAAUUUAUGCUAAGGAAAAUAAAAUAAUUAGCCUUUUGUAAGCGUGCUUAAAAAUCAGGGCUAUUACAGCAGCCCCGUGGGCUCUCCAACAUGUGCCUUGGCAGCAGCAACAUAAGAGCAUCCAUAGAAGCUAUAUCCCUGUAGUAUUACACGCCAACAGCAGCAAGAAAAGCCACAGAGACAGCCCACAAGUGCGCUCAAACAGCAGCCAUAGCUGCUGUACUUGUGCGCACAAACAGCCUUGUACAGGCCUUGCAGCAGCCCCUUUUGAGCUCGUUGUCACGAGCCUUGCUUGCCCCUUGAUAGUGGCUGUGCACGAGCAUAGAAUAGCUGCCAAAACACUGAAUAUAACACGCAACAACAGCAGCAAUCGAACAAGUACAGCAGCUACACGAGCAUCUACUUGGCUGCUGUUGUUUGAGCUUCGCUGCUGCUCACUUGAGUACCUUGAUAGCAGCCUUGUAGCUACACAACAGCAGCAAUAAGCAAGUGUUACAGCAGCCUUAUAGCAAGAAGAAUAGAAGCAAGGAGCAAGAAGAAUAGCAGCCAAAGCAACACGCAAAAACAGCAAGAGCUGCCAGUUGUGCGAACACACAACUUUGGUGUGCGAGCACACACUUCUGUGCGAGCACACUGGACUUUUGUGCAACCACACGAAAUGGCAAAAUCGAUGCAGGAACUCAGCUAUGAUUCGUGCGAUCGGGCUUACCCAGACGUGCGUUCGCAAAUAGAUUUUAGGUUUCAAUUUCACAAAAUUAAACACUGGAUUUCAGUUUUAGUUCAUCAAAUUCGUAGCCAUUGUUCUUCAAUUUCAGAUUUUGUUCUUCAAGGUUUUUCCCCCAAUUUUGGUAAUAAUGUUGAAAAUGAUGGAAAAUAGCUGAGAUUUGCUCGAGCAGGUCCAGUGCGAUCGCACGGAAUUUACGUGCGCUCGCACGGGUCUACAAAGUUGGCUCCAAAGUCAAGGCAAUGUGUGCGCUCGUGCCCCAAAUGUGUGUGUUCGCACGAAUCCGGAAAAUCGAGGCAGGAACUCCAAGGCAAUGUGUGCGCUCGUGCCCCAAAAGCGUGUGUUCGCACGAAUUCGAAAAAAUGAGGCAGGAACUCCAAGGGAUGUCGCCCGUUCGCACCACAGAAGCGUGCGCUCGCACGGAAUUUCCGUGUGCUCGCACUGAUUUCCUGUGCGAGCACACGAGGAUUUUCUGAAAAUUAGCAAAGUUACAGCCGUGCGAUCGCACGGUUGUAGGGCACGUUCGCACGGAACAAAGGAGAAGAAUCGUCGCAGGGCCCGUUCGUACAGAUGCACAGCACGAUCGCACCGAUGCGAUCGCACCUGGGUCUGCCCGUUCGCACGGUGGCGCGGGAUUCAGUUUUCGAGUUUAAAUCUCUUAUUUUUGGGGUUUAGUAUAAAUAGGAUUUUCUUUAUUUUCAAUCGACACACUUUCAUUUUUACGCUUUCAUUUUCAGAUAUACAUUUUAGAGGUUUUGUGAUUUUUGUUCUUCAAGCUAGAGAGAGAAAUUCUUUAAUUCCAAGCAUCAAUUCAGUAAUUUUCUUCAA